AAAAUACUCCCUCCGUCUGGAAAUACUUGUCAUCAAAAUGGAUAAAAGGAAAUGUAUCUAGACGUAUUUUAGUUUUAGAUACAUCUCUUUUUAUCCAUUUUGAUCACAAGUAUUUUCGGACGGAGGGAGUAGAAA
rnacentral:pre_miRNA from 1 species